rnacentral:tRNA from 1 species
GUCCCCGUAGCUCAGCUGGAUAGAGUGUUUGAUUCCGAAUCAAAAGGUCGCGCGUUCGAAUCGCGCCGGGGACGCCA